UACGUAGGUGGCAAGCGUUGUCCGGAUUUACUGGGCGUAAAGAGCGCGCAGGCGGUCGUUCAAGUCGCGUGUGAAAGCCCCCGGCUCAACUGGGGAGGGUCACGCGAUACUGAUCGACUCGAAGGCAGGAGAGGGUAGUGGAAUUCCCGGUGUAGUGGUGAAAUGCGUAGAUAUCGGGAGGAACACCAGUGGCGAAGGCGGUUACCUGGACAGUUACUGACGCUCAGGCACGAAAGCAUGGGGAGCAAAAGGG
rnacentral:rRNA from 1 species